rnacentral:rRNA from 1 species
AUACGGAGGGUCCGAGCGUUAUCCGGAAUCAUUGGGUUUAAAGGGUCCGUAGGCGGGAAUCUAAGUCAGUGGUGAAAUCUUGCAGCUCAACUGUACAAUUGCCAUUGAUACUGGAUUUCUUGAAUUAGUGUGAAGUGGUUAGAAUGUGUAGUGUAGCGGUGAAAUGCAUAGAUAUUACACAGAAUACCAAUUGCGAAGGCAGAUCACUAACACUAUAUUGACGCUGAGGGACGAAAGCGUGGGGAGCGAACAGGAUUAGAAACCCCAGUAGUCC